UACGUAGGGUGCGAGCGUUGUCCGGAAUUAUUGGGCGUAAAGAGCUUGUAGGCGGUUUGUCGCGUCUGCCGUGAAAGUCCGGGGCUCAACUCCGGAUCUGCGGUGGGUACGGGCAGACUAGAGUGAUGUAGGGGAGACUGGAAUUCCUGGUGUAGCGGUGAAAUGCGCAGAUAUCAGGAGGAACACCGGUGGCGAAGGCGGGUCUCUGGGCAUUACCUGACGCUGAGGAGCGAAAGCAUGGGGAGCGAACAGG
rnacentral:rRNA from 1 species